CAGCAUCAUUUGGAAUAAAUGAAACUACCUUCGACAGGCUUGUGAAUCAACAACGCGAAUCGGUUAUCUUAGAAUGCACCUCCUGCGCAGAGGAAGAAUGGAGGAUAAUGGAGGAAGAGAUUGAGAGGGAAAGAGAGGAGGCAAGGCAGAGGGAAGAGGAGGCAAGGAAGAGGGAUGAAGAGAGGAAAAGACAGGAAGAGGAAGCUGAGACGAGAGAAGAGGAGGAGGCAGCUAGGGAGAGAGCAGAGGAGGAAAGGAAGAAGAGAGAGCAAGAAGAAGAGGAAGAGGCGGCACGGAGAAAGAGAGAGGAAGAGGCAGCACGAGAAAGGAGGGAACAAGAGGAAAGAGAACAAGAAGCAGCACAGAUGGAAGAGAAAGAAAGGGAAGCAGCUAAGCGAGAGGAAGAAGAAGCAGCACAAAGAAGACAAGAAGAAGCUGGCCAGGGAGAAGGAGGGCGCCCACACGAAGGGGGCAGGGAAGCACGGCCGCCGGAGGAAGACGGAAGAGGAGGAGUAGGAGCCAGGCAGGAGGAGGAAACUGCAAAGCAACAAGAAAAAGAAAUGGGACAAGAG
rnacentral:lncRNA from 1 species